CCCAAGUAGAAUUACUCCACAAGUGUGAAUUUGACCAUCAGAUUUUGAUCACACUUUGAGAGAUCUUCUACACUAAAAUCAGACCCUUUGACUUGAUUAUUGGCCAAAUCAGACCUACUGGUAUUCUGUUAUUACUUAUUAAUUUGCU